GCAGUCGAGCGAGAAAGCUCCUUCGGGAGCGAGUAAAGCGGCGGACGGGUGAGUAACGCGUAAGAAUCUGCCCUUCAGUGAAGAAUACCUUCGAGAAAUCGGAGCUAAUGCUGCAUACGUCCCUUCGGGGAGAAAGAUGGCCUCUUUGCUGUCGCUGAAGGAUGAGCUUGCGUACUAUUAGCUUGUUGGUGGGGUAAAGGCCUACCAAGGCGAUGAUGGUUAGCCGGCCUGAGAGGGUGAACGGCCACAUUGGAACUUAGACACGGUCCAGACUCCUACGGGAGGCAGCAGUGAGGAAUAUUGCGCAAUGGGCGAAAGCCUGACGCAGCGACGCCGCGUGGAGGAUGACGGUUUUCGGAUUGUAAACUCCUGUUAAGUGGGAAGAAAGGCUUUUCUUAAAUAGAGAAAAGAGAUGACGGUACCAUUAGAGAAAGCACCGGCUAACUUCGUGCCAGCAGCCGCGGUAAUACGAGGGGUGCAAGCGUUAUUCGGAAUCAUUGGGCGUAAAGGGUACGCAGGCGGCAUAUUAAGUCAGCUGUUAAAUCUUCCGGCCUAACUGGAAGCUUGCGGCAGAUACUGGUGUGCUAGAGGAUGAGAGAGAGGAGUGGAAUUCUCGGAGUAGGGGUAAAAUCCAUGGAUCUCGAGAGGAACACCGAUGGCGAAGGCAGCUUCUUGGCUCACUCCUGACGCUCAGGUACGAAAGCGUGGGUAGCAAACAGGAUUAGAUACCCUGGUAGUCCACGCUGUAAACGAUGACCACUAGACGUUAGUUCUGUUU
rnacentral:rRNA from 1 species